GGGGCGACGACGAGCUGCGAGCAAAGAUGUGCCCCGGGACCCCCGGCACCUUCCAGUGGAUUUCCUUGCGGAAAGGAUGUUGGCGGUCCCUGUGACCUGUGGAGACACGGCCAGAUCUGCCCUCCAAGCUUUACAGAAAUUCCAUGCUGCCUUCAGCUUCCUUUGCCGCUCUGCAUCAUGUUGGACCAUAGCUGUCUGCAGUGCAGGAAGCCAACUAUUAAGGGGAAACAAAAGUGUUCUUAGGAGUCCUGCUGUCACUGUGGAUUGAGCCGGUGAAGCCCUGAGGGAUUUCAUCGCUGAGGUGGAUGGAGAAGCAGCUGGGGGCCUUGGCUGUAAGGACCCCUAAGGGCCUGAUCUUUUGGCCAGAAGGAGAUUAAAAAGAUGCCCCUCAAGAUGGCUGUGCCUGUCAGCUGCAUGGAGCUUCGUUCAAGUAUUUUCUGAGCCUGAUGGAUUUACAGUGAUCUUCAGUGGUCUGGGGAAUAACGCUGGUGGAACCAUGCACUGGAAUGACACACGCCCGGCACAUUUCAGGAUACUAAAAGUGGUUUUAAGGGAGGCUGUGGCUGAAUGCCUCAUGGAUUCUUACAGCUUGGAUGUCCAUGGGGGACGAAGGACUGCAGCUGGCUGAGAGGGUUGAGAUCUCUGUUUACUUAGAUCUCUGCCAACUUCCUUUGGGUCUCCCUAUGGAAUGUAAGACCCCGACUCUUCCUGGUGAAGCAUCUGAUGCACGUUCCAUCCGGCGCUCAGCUGGGCUUGAGCUGACCAUACUCCCUGGAGCCUUCUCCCGAGGUGCGCGGGUGACCUUGGCACAUACAGCCAUCAUGAUGGUACUUUAAGUGGAGGCUGAAUCAUCUCCCCUUUGAGCUGCUUGGCACGUGGCUCCCUUGGUGUUCCCCUUUUACUGCCAGGACACUGAGAUUUGGAGAGAAUCCUGUUACACCUGGGAUUUAGGCACUUUCAAUCUGAAAAAAUACAUAUCCUUUCAGCACUCUGGACGGACUUGAGAACUGUCCUUACGUGACCUAAAGCUGGAGUAUUUUGAGAUUGGAGAAUUAAGAGUGUGGGCACCCUGGCUUCAAGCUCACGAGAAACCAGGUCGGGAUUUAAACAAUGUUGGGUUAAAGCAAAGUUUCAUAAAGACAGAAUCAAGAAAAAAAGAAAGAGAAA
rnacentral:lncRNA from 1 species